rnacentral:rRNA from 1 species
GAAAAACUCCGGUGGUAUAAGAUGGACCCGCGUCUGAUUAGCUGGUUGGUGAGGUAACGGCCCACCAAGGCGACGAUCAGUAGCCGGCCUGAGAGGGUGAACGGCCACAUUGGGACUGAGACACGGCCCAAACUCUUACGGGAGGCAGCAGUGGGGAAUAUUGCACAAUGGGGGAAACCCUGAUGCAGCAACGCCGCGUGAGUGAAGAAGUAUUUCGGUAUGUAAAGCUCUAUCAGCAGGAAAGAAAAUGACGGUACCUGACUAAGAAGCCCCGGCUAACUACGUGCCAGCAGCCGCGGUAAUACGUAGGGGGCAAGCGUUAUCCGGAUUUACUGGGUGUAAAGGGAGCGUAGACGGUUUUGCAAGUCUGAAGUGAAAGCCCGGGGCUUAACCCCGGGACUGCUUUGGAAACUGUAGGACUAGAGUGCAGGAGAGGUAAGUGGAAUUCCUAGUGUAGCGGUGAAAUGCGUAGAUAUUAGGAGGAACACCAGUGGCGAAGGCGGCUUACUGGACUGUAACUGACGUUGAGGCUCGAAAGCGUGGGGAGCAAACAGGAUUAGAUACCCUGGUAGUCCACGCCGUAAACGAUGAUUACUAGGUGUUGGUGGGUAUGACCCAUCGGUGCC